rnacentral:rRNA from 1 species
GUUUCGGCUAGGGGGCCAUCCCGGCUUACCAACCCGAUGCAAACUGCGAAUACCGGAGAAUGUUAUCACGGGAGACACACGGCGGGUGCUAACGUCCGUCGUGAAGAGGGAAACAACCCAGACCGCCAGCUAAGGUCCCAAAGUCAUGGUUAAGUGGGAAACGAUGUGGGAAGGCCCAGACAGCCAGGAUGUUGGCUUAGAAGCAGCCAUCAUUUAAAGAAAGCGUAAUAGCUCACUGGUCGAGUCGGCCUGCGCGGAAGAUGUAACGGGGCUAAACCAUGCACCGAAGCUGCGGCAGCGACGCUGAUGCGUUGUUGGGUAGGGGAGCGUUCUGUAAGCCUGUGAAGGUGGCCUGUGAGGGUUGCUGGAGGUAUCAGAAGUGCGAAUGCUGACAUAAGUAACGAUAAAGCGGGUGAAAAGCCCGCUCGCCGGAAGACCAAGGGUUCCUGUCCAACGUUAAUCGGGGCAGGGUGAGUCGACCCCUAAGGCGAGGCCGAAAGGCGUAGUCGAUGGGAAACGGGUUAAUAUUCCCGUACUUGGUGUUACUGCGAAGGGGGGACGGAGAAGGCUAUGUUGGCCGGGCGACGGUUGUCCCGGUUUAAGCGUGUAGGUGUGUGUUCCAGGUAAAUCCGGUUCACUUUAACACUGAGGCGUGAUGACGAGGCACUACGGUGCUGAAGCAACAAAUGCCCUGCUUCCAGGAAAAGCCUCUAAGCAUCAGGUAACAUCAAAUCGUACCCCAAACCGACACAGGUGGUCAGGUAGAGAAUACCAAGGCGCUUGAGAGAACUCGGGUGAAGGAACUAGGCAAAAUGGUGCCGUAACUUCGGGAGAAGGCACGCUGACACGUAGGUGAAGUGAUUUACUCAUGGAGCUGAAGUCAGUCGAAGAUACCAGCUGGCUGCAACUGUUUAUUAAAAACACAGCACUGUGCAAACACGAAAGUGGACGUAUACGGUGUGACGCCUGCCCGGUGCCGGAAGGUUAAUUGAUGGGGUCAGCGCAAGCGAAGCUCCUGAUCGAAGCCCCGGUAAACGGCGGCCGUAACUAUAACGGUCCUAAGGUAGCGAAAUUCCUUGUCGGGUAAGUUCCGACCUGCACGAAUGGCGUAAUGAUGGCCAGGCUGUCUCCACC